rnacentral:SRP_RNA from 1 species
CGGCAGGCUAGGUUGGCGCGUUAGCUCCGCGUUGUGACUGUAAAUGAGCUUAGACAGAACUGAAGCAAGAGGAGAGUUCAUCUACUUGCAAAAGACUCUUAAUCUUGACAAUGAGGCUUUGUCCUGCUUGGUUUUGUAAUAGUGAAACAGGUCAGGUUCGGAAGAAAGCAGCCUUAAGUUAUUAUUAAAGCGCUUGCAGGGUAGCAAAGCUUAGAAGAGGUUAGGAAUCAUCUUUUGUAAAGGGGUGCGCCAUUCUCUUGCGCGCCUGCCA